rnacentral:pre_miRNA from 1 species
UUAUUACUCCCUCUGUUCAACAAAAGAUGUUUCGAGUUUUUCAAAAUUUGGAUGUAUCUAAACAUGACUUAGUGUAUAUAUGCAUUCAAUUUUGGUCAAAAUUAAGACAUCCUUUGUUGGGCGGAGUGAGUAUAUG